rnacentral:rRNA from 1 species
AAGGUACUAUACGAAUAAGCACCGGCUAACUCCGUGCCAGCAGCCGCGGUAAUACGGAGGGUGCAAGCGUUAUCCGGAUUUAUUGGGUUUAAAGGGUCCGUAGGCGGACUCGUAAGUCAGUGGUGAAAUCUCAUAGCUUAACUAUGAAACUGCCAUUGAUACUGCGGGUCUUGAGUAAGGUAGAAGUGGCUGGAAUAAGUAGUGUAGCGGUGAAAUGCAUAGAUAUUACUUAGAACACCAAUUGCGAAGGCAGGUCACUAUGUCUUAACUGACGCUGAUGGACGAAAGCGUGGGGAGCGAACAGGAUUAGAUACCCUGGUAGUCCACGCCGUAAACGAUGCUAACUCGUUUUUGGGCUUUCGGGUUCAGAGACUAAGCGAAAGUGAUAAGUUAGCCACCUGGGGAGUACGUUCGCAAGAAUGAAACUCAAAGGAAUUGACGGGGGCCCGCACAAGCGGUGGAUUAUGUGGUUUAAUUCGAUGAUACGCGAGGAACCUUACCAAGGCUUAAAUGGGAAUUGAUCGGUUUAGAAAUAGACCUUCCUUCGGGCAAUUUUCAAGGUGCUGCAUGGUUGUCGUCAGCUCGUGCCGUGAGGUGUUAGGUUAAGUCCUGCAACGAGCGCAACCCCUGUUACUAGUUGCUACCAUUAAGUUGAGGACUCUAGUAAGACUGCCUACGCAAGUAGAGAGGAAGGUGGGGAUGACGUCAAAUCAUCACGGCCCUUACGCCUUGGGCCACACACGUAAUACAAUGGCCGGUACAGAGGGCAGCUACACAGCGAUGUGAUGCGAAUCUCGAAAGCCGGUCUCAGUUCGGAUUGGAGUCUGCAACUCGACUCUAUGAAGCUGGAAUCGCUAGUAAUCGCGCAUCAGCCAUGGCGCGGUGAAUACGUUCCCGGGCCUUGUACACACCGCCCGUCAAGCCAUGGAAGUCUGGGGUACCUGAAGUCGGUGACCGUA